GCUGGGCAUGGUGGUGCAUGCCUGUAAUCCUAGCGGCUCUGGAGGCUGAGACAGGAGGAUCACGAGUUCAAAGCCAGCCUCAGCAAUGGUAAGGUGCUAAGCAACUCAGUGAGACCUGUCUCUA
rnacentral:sRNA from 1 species